GGCACGACCCAACGAGAGUCCGCGAGUCGGUGCGUGUCAGUCCGUGCGUGUGCUUUACCUAAUAAUAUUUCCAGCGCGGCUAGUCCCGCGUUCUCGCCUCUUCUUUGGCGACAGCCAGCACGCAUCUCGCUGCCCUCUCCUCUCUUUCUCUCUCUCUCUCUCUCUCUCUCUCUCUCUCUCUCUCUCUCUCUCUCUCUCUCUCUCUCUCUCUCUCUCUCUCUCUCUCUCUCUCUCUCUCUCUCUCUUUCUCUCUCUCUUCUCUCAGCUCUCUACCUGUCUCCUAUUUCCUCCGCGUAUUCGUAGCUCACAUGUAUGCGUAUAUACGGCCAUCUCUCUCUUACCUUACGCGCUCUACCCUCGUUAGGGUUUAGACGUCCGAAGGCGUUUGCGAAGCCCUUUGCGUCGCCCCGCGCAGCGCCGUCGCCGGGGGGGCCACCACCCUCUCCGCUCCGAUCUCCGGACGGAUCUCUCGCGAAAGCGAGAGAGGAGAAGAAUCACGCUCUGCAGAGCAGCACGUGUGCUGCACUCGCGCGGAUCGGCAGGCGCGGUGCGCGGUUACAUAGCCCAUCGGCUCUCUCUGAUCACCGUCCGAGAGUCCGCCGCGCGCGACCACGGUCGACGUGAAAAGUCAAUUUUGCCAUCCUCGACCGGGACCGACUCGUCUCCGUGACGAAGGAAAAAACCGUUUACGCCGCGCGGAGCAACGAACCGCGGAAGUGAGGGGGCGUCCUCGCGCGAUCGAAGCGAUAGAUCGAACGGCCGCGAAUCGAAUCGGAGUGUUGUCGUAUCGCGCGCGAGUGACGUCAUAGGCCACAGACCCUCGCUGCCGCCUCGUCGGGGAACUGUGAUUCCGUAUACGCGAGGUGCAACGAAAGCGGAAACACGACCGGCUAACGGAUUCGCAGUGGUGCCUCCGCCGGACGAGGACGUCGGAGGGAGGAGACGGGCACCGUCAGCCGUCGGCAAGUCUUGUGAACGGAAGUGUUCAAAGGCCCGAAGAUUCUGCCUUCGCAGCAGCUGGGCGCUGCGGUCGCUCCAUGGCCGGGCGCAACCGGCCUCAUAGCUUCGGUCACUGCUGACGACAUGGCACACAAAGGGCACAGCGGGGUGAACCAGCUGGGAGGUGUCUUCGUCGGCGGUCGGCCGCUUCCGGACUCGACGCGGCAAAAGAUCGUCGAGCUCGCGCAUUCGGGCGCGCGGCCAUGCGACAUCUCCAGGAUACUGCAGGUCAGCAACGGCUGUGUCUCCAAGAUCCUCGGCAGUAGGUACUAUGAGACCGGAUCUAUAAGGCCCAGGGCGAUCGGCGGUAGCAAGCCGCGCGUGGCAACGGCGGAGGUCGUCAAUAAGAUUUCGCUCUAUAAAAGUGAGUGCCCGUCCAUCUUCGCGUGGGAGAUCCGAGAUCGCUUGUUGCAGGAGGGCGUCUGCACGAACGACAACAUCCCGAGCGUGUCCUCGAUCAACAGGGUACUGAGGAAUCUAGCCGCGCAGAAGGAGCAGAGGCAACAGCAGCAACAGCAGCAACCAGGGGUGGGCGCUGUGGGGGUUGGCGUCGGUGCUGGCAGUCCGGCGGAGAGCGUUUACGAUAAACUCAGGUUACUAAACGGACAAACCACCGGCUGGCCGCGACCCAAUCCCUGGUAUCCGUCGAGCGCGGGAAGUCCGUUUUCGUCGAUACAAUCUAGUUUGAGUCCGAGCCACUGUUCGUCCCUGCCACCGGAUCCGGCGGAUAUAUUGCACGCGAAGAAAGUAACCGAGCUCGAGGGUGGCGCGCACUCGGACGAGACGAACAGCGGGGGUGACAAUAGCAACGCUGGCAGCGUGUCGGGCGGCGCCGAUGACGAUCAGGCGCGUCUCCGCCUGAAGAGGAAACUGCAAAGGAAUCGUACGAGCUUUAGCAACGAGCAGAUCGACGCGCUCGAGAAGGAGUUCGAGAGAACGCAUUACCCGGACGUGUUCGCCAGGGAGAGACUCGCCGGCAAGAUCGGCCUACCGGAGGCGCGAAUACAGGUCUGGUUUUCGAAUCGGCGGGCCAAGUGGCGGCGCGAGGAGAAAUUGCGCACGCAACGGAGGGAUAAUCCGCCACCGCCGCAGCAGCAGCAGCAGCAGCAACAGCAGCAGCAACAGCAGCAACAUACUGCCGGCGUGAGCCUGGUGGGUGCCGGUCAUCCGACGCCGCCGCCACCCUCGGGGAUACUUGGGGGGCAGCCGCCACCGCAGGCACCACCUUCGCCUCCGAGAAUACACCACGGGUUCGCGCCCACUGCUGUGUACCCCGGAAUACCCAGCAUGCCCGACUCGUACAGCCCGAUGACAUCGAUGCCGAGCUUCACGAUGUCGGGCGCCAGCCAGCAAAAUCAGCACACGACCAGUAGCAUGUCCUCGCUGUCCACCGGGGGCGGCAUGAGCCCGAUGGGUAUGACCGUGGGCAUGACCGUCGGACCGAGCCCGGGCGCGUGCCUCCAGCAACGGGACAAUGGCUACUCGUGCGGGGUUGCGAGACCACCAAGCUACGAACCACUUCACUUAGGAUAUGGCGCCAGACCGACCUGCAGUCCCACGCAGCCCUACCACGCGGCGAGCCUCAAUCAGUACAAUCAGAACGCCAGCUCGACCGGUGAGUGUCUACCGCACUCACUGCAUUCGCUGCUUGCACUCUAGCCGAUGGACUACUACUGCGGCUACCAUGGAUAACACGCUAUCGAGCCCGCCGGUCUAAUAUCACCUGGCGUGAGUGUGCCGAUUGCGGUACCAGGUCAACCGGCACCCGACAUGGCGGCGCAAUACUGGUCACCGAGGCUGCAGUGACCGUGGUGGUCGUCGAUGUCGACCUCAUCUCCGUAGACUUGAGCUUCUUCGUCUCCCUAGCUUACGGUGUCCGUGUCGUGUAAAAACAACGCGGAGAAAAAACGACGCGCGAUCACGCGGUCGUUCAGCGCGAGGUCUCCGCAAAAUCCGCGUAUUAUGGUCGAUCGUGCGUGCAACUGUUCCGUAAUCUAAAUCGAAAUGGGCUAUCGCGUAGCCGUGCGUUUCGUUCAAGCCAAAGUUUCGCGUGGAAACUAUACAAGUUUGAUCUGUCCGUAUUCACGUCCGCUGCUUUUUUUCUUUUUUUUUUGUUUUUGUUUUUUGUUCGUCCGGCGAACGCAUCGUUUCGGGAAAUUUCGGGGAAACGUCAUUGCGUAUUCGCUGGCGCUUACCGAGCCAGGAUUGUCGGAGGCACUCGGAGAUUCGUUCUGUCACCUCCAGCGAGAGCGAGGAACUUAAAUUCUCUACUGAAUGGCUCCAUCGCGAUUCCGUUUGUGUAAACUGACGACAAAUCUAUGAUAUAAUACUACUUGUGUAAUUGCAAUACAAGACGCGGCAUUUGGCUUACAGGCGGAUUAAUCGAUCUCAUUAUAUAAUCGUGAAUCUUAUUCACCGGACAAAUCGAAUUCCCGUGUCCCAUGCUACAAAGAAAAAAACUAAUAUCCACUUGCGACUGCAAGACACUUUCCCGAUCAUGUCCCCCAUUGUUACCAUAGGCAAACGAUGACUAAUGCUGACUUUUCCGCACAUUCAUUAACGGUGUUUGGUAUCGUGAUGUGCAAGCUCAUACAGCACAGAAAGAUUGCAGGAACAUUAUAGAAAUAUUUCAUAUUCCAAGAUCGCGACAUAACAAAAAAGUAUUACAAAAUGUUUAUACAAUGACCGCUGCAAUAUUUGAAGUAAUGGUAAAAUAUCCAUCUUUAGAAAUAUUACACGGAAUAUGUUUUCGAUAGUGUCCAGAUUUUUUCCAUUUUAUUUCGGCACAUGUAAUUUCCAGGAAUAUCACAUGUUUCUGAAUUAAUUUUUACUCAGAAGAAAAAAAAUUUUACUGCUAAAAUACAUUUUAUUUACUUUUGUCUUUGAAUUAAAUUUUGAGAACUUGCUUCUUCAAGGAAUCAUCUCAUCGAUAUAAUAUAUGAACAAUCUUACAAUCUUGUGUGUAUUUUUAAAUUACGAGAAAUAAAACUGCGCCAGUCCAUUAUUUUUCGCAACAUUUUUAGAACGUUGCUGCAAUAUUGCAUUACAACGCGUCGUAGCAAUAUUGCUGCAUACGUCUGUGCUAUAUGAGACACACCUCUCCUCUUUAUUUCGAUGUCGUAUCAGAAUAUAAUUCAUAGGAACACAAUCAUCAGUAGACAUUAAUAUACCAGUCAGUGACAAUCCAUGGUUUUCGUAUGACAUAAUAAAUACGUAAAAUGAUCGGCAAGGUGGGUAAUCUUUCAAAGCAUCAUGCGCAUGUGCACAUCUUUGUAAGCUCCCUUUUAAUUCGUACAAUUACACCUCCGAGCCGAAACAUCUCUGUAGAUAGAACUGAGCAAGGUGAGACGCGGUGAAACAAAGAGAAAAAAAAAGAAAAACAAUGCGAAUAGUCGGCAAUGUGCAACACGUGUAAAAAUAAUUAGUGCGAAGAUUGAAGAAGGAAAGAAUCACUCCCGAGGAGAGAUCCUCGCGGGAGAAUUUUUAUUCGCAACAUUUCGUAGGUGUAACUUCUGUAGAGAAGGAAAGAGAGAAAAAAAUAAAAUAGUUUCUAAGUCGGUAUUAUGUUAUUUAUACUCGCGAUACGAGAGUGCCAGGAAAUAAUAAACGUGAGUUCGUUGUGUGUACAUCGUAAGGAGAACAUCAACAGUAAUGUACAAUAUAUGUAAUUUUAUAUGUAUGUACAUUAUGUAUAAAAUUAUAUAUAUUAUAUAUAUAUAAUUGACUCUAAUUCUCUAAGUAACUUGGUAAAAUCAAUUCGUAAUUAAUAUUCGGUGCAAGGUUCGAGAAAAUAAAUAAAUAAAGAAAGAAAGGACCGAACAUGCCGAUUGUGAUUUCCCUUAGACCAGGUAUGUUAAACGUACGAUUAUGCGUUCUAAAUAAAUAGUGUGUGCAUUUAAUCGAGAGUUCUCUCAAUGCUUGUUUUCUAAUUGGAGAAUUUAUUUACGAGACUUCGGCAUGUAUAACACAAUCGCAUUCUCCUAUUAUAAAUAAAAUAAAAUCUUAUUAUUAUGGAGAGCGAGCUAGUGUUUGCCGAAUUAUAAACGAAUAUAAUGAUAUAUUGUGUGCAGUUUCCUGUUAGAAAUCAAGCGCAGCUCCUUCCCGAACGUGUUCAUCUCUUUCUCUUUCUCUCUCACUCUCGAUCCGAUAAUUCAUAUUUGUACUUACCCCUUUCCCACAUUGUCGUCCAAUCAAAUCACUCGUAGAAAAUAAUGAAAAAUGGGAUGCAAAAAAGCGGAAAGAGACUAUCAUUUUACCUUGCAAAUGUAACAAUUGUAUAUUUAUUUCAACUUAAUAAUUAAUUUACACUUGAA